CCUACGGGAGGCAGCAGUGAGGAAUAUUGGUCAAUGGACGCAAGUCUGAACCAGCCAUGCCGCGUGCAGGAAGACGGCUCUAUGAGUUGUAAACUGCUUUUGUACGAGGGUAAACGCAGAUACGCGUAUCUGUCUGAAAGUAUCGUACGAAUAAGGCUCGGCUAACUCCGUUCCAGCAGCCGCGGUAAUACGGAGGAUUCAAGCGUUAUCCGGAUUUAUUGGGUUUAAAGGGUGCGUAGGCGGUCGGAUAAGUUAGAGGUGAAAUCCCGAGGCUCAACUUCGGAAUUGCCUCUGAUACUGUGCGGCUAGAGAGUAGUUGAGGUAGGCGGAAUGUAUGGUGUAGCGGUGAAAUGCUUAGAGAUCAUACAGAACACCGAUUGCGAAGGCAGCUUACCAAGCUACUUCUGACGUUGAGGCACGAAAGCGUGGGGAGCAAACAGGAUUAGAUACCCCAGUAGUC
rnacentral:rRNA from 1 species